UACAGAGGGUGCGAGCGUUAUUCGAAAUUAUUGGGCGUAAAGAGCGAGCAGGUGGUACGUUAAGUCUCGUGUGAAAUCCCCGGGCUCAACCCGGGAAAGUCACGAGAAACUGACGAACUAGAGUACAAGAGAGGAAAGCGGAAUUCCCAGUGUAGAGGUGAAAUUCGUAGAUAUUGGGAGGAACACCGGUGGCGAAAGCGGCUUUCUGGCUUGUUACUAACACUCAUUCGCGAAAGCGUGGGUAUCAAACAGG
rnacentral:rRNA from 1 species